rnacentral:rRNA from 1 species
GAUACGGGACUCAUCCNAGGCCCCGUAAUCGGAAUGAGUACACUUUAAAUCCUUUAACGAGUAUCCAUUGGAGGGCAAGUCUGGUGCCAGCAGCCGCGGUAAUUCCAGCUCCAAUAGCGUAUAUUAAAGUUGUUGCGGUUAAAAAGCUCGUAGUUGGACUUGUGUCCCACGCUGUCGGUUCACCGCCCGUCGGUGUUUAACUGGCAUGGUUCGUGGGACGUCCUGCCGGUGGUGGCGAGUCGAAGGCUCGCGCCCGCCGCGGUUCACGCCGCGAGCGAGGUGGCGGGCUGUAGGCGGACCCCGAUGAAAUCCUACCGCGGUGCUCUUCACCGAGUGUCGAGGUGGGCCGGCACGUUUACUUUGAACAAAUUAGAGUGCUUAAAGCAGGCCUGCUGCGCCUGAAUACUGUGUGCAUGGAAUAAUGGAAUAGGACCUCGGUUCUAUUUUGUUGGUUUUCGGAACCCGAGGUAAUGAUUAAUAGGGACAGUCGGGGGCAUUCGUAUUGCGACGUUAGAGGUGAAAUUCUUGGAUCGUCGCAAGACGGACCGAAGCGAAAGCAUUUGCCAAGUAUGUUUUCAUUAAUCAAGAACGAAAGUUAGAGGUUCGAAGGCGAUCAGAUACCGCCCUAGUUCUAACCAUAAACGAUGCCAGCUAGCGAUCCGCCGAAGUUCCUCCGAUGACUCGGCGGGCAGCUCCCGGGAAACCAAAGCUUUUGGGUUCCGGGGGAAGUAUGGUUGCAAAGCUGAAACUUAAAGGAAUUGACGGAAGGGCACCACCAGGAGUGGAGCCUGCGGCUUAAUUGACUCAACACGGGAAACCUCACCAG